AUUUAUCCUGCACUAAGAUUUGUCAUCAGUAGUAUGUCUAAAAUUAACAUAUACAGGCAUUCUGUUUUGUUUUUCUACAUGAACUUGUGUACAUUACUUUGUUCAGAUGAUGGUCCUUAGUUUCUGCAGCACGUAAACUACUUAACUUUUAUUGUUGUUAAACUUCUAUCCAUUUAUCAGAUGACUUCCCAGUUGAAAGUUUGAAUAAGUUUGGUACAAAAAAGUACGAAAAAAGGGCCAAGUCUUUGAUCAGUACAGUACAACAUAAUUGACUUGAAGUACAGGGAAGUUAGUUAAGCUUUUUCCAGACAGAUGUGUGAAAACGGAGGUAGAAAAAUUAAUCUCAAUUUUUGUGAUAAAGGUGAAGAAGAUCCUGUACAAUAAUGUUUAUUUUUAACAAUGUAACAAUAAUGCAUCUUCUAUUUAUAUAUGAUCGUGCAUACAUUGGUUUAAGAAGUACAGGAUAAUUGGCCACAUGAUCAUAUUCUCAUUUAGACUUACAAUUUUAUGCAACAAACGUUUUUAAGUUUGUUUAAAAAAAGUAUAAUUUGCUCAAGUCAGGAUAUUUGCUUAUUCUUGUAGUAGUCAACAUUUAUAUAUUUUCAAGUUCAUUAAACUUGUAAUUGAAACAACGGUAUGUUAAUUGGGAAUCUAACGUUUUUAUUCUUUUUUUUAACUGUUUUAAUAACAUCUAGUCCUCAAACUACCACAUUUUUCAGUUAUAUUUGAAAUGAGUAAUAUACAAUGUUAAGAAAAACUUGAUUACGCUUUCAACUGAUUGUAUAAAAUUUUGAAAGGCAUACAGUGUAACAUGUUGGAUGUUGACUUGUAUGAACACUCAGAUGACUUAAGUACACAGCAGUAGUGAAUUCAAAGCAAUAAAUUGUUUUUUAAUUGACAUGAGUGUGAUGAAAAGGAGAUAUCUGUGUGAUUUAAUAUUGAAACUAUGGUUAUCACUUCUACAGAUUUGAUGGUCAGGAACUGGUUGUUUAGAAAAAAUCAUUCAGAAGAAAUUACUAUGUUGAAAAUGAUUGAAAUAAAUUACUAGUAACUUUUACGACAAUCGAUGGAUGUAAUCAACUUUUAUUUACCUGAUUCUGUUUCAACAUGAAAUCAUGACCAAAAAUUAAAAUACAAGUAUUUGUUCAGUGAACAAAAUAUACCGUAUAAUCCAAAAUGAGUUAUGAACAGUACGUACCCUCUGAUCCAAGAUAACAUACGAACAAAAUAUACCCUCCAAUGCAACAUUACUGAUGUAUAGUAUAAGAAUACUUUAGUUAAGAAUUUUUACUCCGUUAUUUCACCUUUUCCAGUUGCUUGGUGAUAGUUUUCUAACACAGUGUCAAUAACUUGAAAAAAAAACUCGACAAAAAAGUAUUUACGUAUAUGUGUGGUGUUAUUUAUAAUAGCAUGAUCUUCAGACUGAAAUAUUAUGUUUUCAUCUUUAGAUGGUUGUUAGUUCUCUCAAUUUGCAAUCUGUGCGACCUAUAUUCAAAUCCUGUUACUGAACAUGUUUACUCUUUUUGACUGUGGGAUCAUUAUAAUGUGGCAGUCAAUCCUAUUAUUUGUUGGUAAACAGAUGCAACAGUUGACAGUGGGUGUCUUCCCUCUAGUCUAACACUUCAAAAUUAGGGAUGGUAAAUGUAGGUAGCCCUUGAUUAGCUUUGCGAGAAAUUCAACAAACAAUCAAGCAAAUGAACUGUGGAUUUUAAUGUAGAAUUGCCAAAACAUUUUAUCCUUUAUUAUUGUGUCUUUAUUGCUAGAAUACUGAAAUGAUUUUUUCCUAAACAUGUUCUUCUUAUAAAACUCCUGGUAGAAUUUCAUCGCUAUUAUUUUCUCAAUGCAAGCUUACUAGAACUUAGAAACAGUUGAGAAUUAUUUUGCAAAUGAACUGUAAUGUAUCUCAAGAUGAAUUAGUUGACUACUGGUUUGAGUUCUAGGAUUCUAUUAAACACACCUACCAUGUUUCAAGUGUGUGAGAGAAAUUAAUGUUAAAGAAUGUUUAAAGAUGUUAACCAUGUUGUAGUAGUAAUGCAUUUAUGUUGUAGGUUAUACAGUAAGUUGUAGGACGUUUGUGUUCAUGACCACUGUCCAUUAACUGCAUACUAUUGAACUGUAUGGUGAGUAUUCAAGUGGAAACAAGGGUGAUAAGAAAAAUGGAAUUUUUUUUUCACCCUACACAUAAUUAAAAGUGAAUGUGGAAGAAAAAAUUGAUGUCUUUUUGGAUAUGUUUUUCUGUAUACAAGUAAACAUACUAAGAAAAGAAGGAACAUCUGCCAUCUUUAAAUUUUUUUUAAAUUUCUCACUGUAAUAAUGAUAUUCUCUACAGUGUUUGGAACUUAACUGUAGCAUUUACUUACUUAUUGAUUUGUUAAAACACAAGGCAACAUCUGUAGGCUUAUUUACCACCUUUACGAUAGACACCAUUUUCUUAUACUUAUUACAUUGAAAACAUUUGCAGACUCAAAGACAAGUUUAAUUAGCAUGUUAAUGAGCAGUAUGCCCAGGUUUCUUAGGUCUUUGUAGGUUUGCUACAGCAGUAGAAAGGCUAUGCUCUUGUAGAGAUUUGAAUUUUUGUUGUUUGUGCUCACACUCAAUUCAAGAGUAAUAACAGCCAUCAAGUAUACCUGCAAUUCUUCCCAUAUAUACAUAUAAAUAACUAUAUAUCUGGUAGUGGUAGUUCGAGGAGAAGGUCACACUUCAUAUUGACAGCAUUUAAUGAAAAUUCCACUGAACCUUCUCUUUUGCUGAAAUGUGAGACUGACGUGCACAGUAAUAUAGUUUUCAUGAUCACGUACGAGCACUAACAUUGUGGCCAAAACGGGGCUUCUGUUGGAAUCACUCUUCCAUGCAGCAGCUACAAUAACUUUCUUCAUAGAUGUGUAUCACAUAAAGAGCUAUCUGAGCUCAUGUAUACACAGGUAUAUAAAUAGUUCAUAGUUUAAAACUUGGACAACAUGUUUAACUUGCGUCUGACUUUAUAUGGAAGUGACACUGCACUUCUGUUUUAAAGUACUUGGUCAUUGGUCCAAUGAUCUCUGUAGAAAAUUCUGGAAAGCUGCUUGUAACAUACCAGAUGUAUCUACCUAAUAAUUAAUACUUAACAAAGAUUUUUACAUUUUCAAGGACUGUUAUGUACAUCUUAAACUAAUUAGUGCCAGAUUAAUUUUUAUAAAAGAAGUAAAACAGAUGCAGUUGCUGUCAUACAUAGCUUAUAAUCAGAGUUAAAUUUUGAUUGGUGAACAUUUAACUCAUCAAGUGUCCCAAUUGGUAAUAAUGUUAAACUGAAAUAUUAAGUCUAAUGUAGGCUGUUUGUACAUUUAAACACACAUUAAUAAUCAACAUAUCUUCAGUGUAGGAAUACUUAGAUAUGAAUGCAACUAAUAUUUAUCAAUAUAGGCAUAAUAUAAACAUGAUAUAAUUAUAUUUUUUCUGCAGUGUAGAAAUAUCGUAGACACAGCCAAUACAUUGUUUAUUGAAAAAUCCAGAUGAAUAAUACAUAACUAUAAAAAAAUAAUAGAUACACAAGUGGCAAGUAUUGGAAAACGGUGUGUUGUUGAUAGCCUGAAGAAAGCUACCCUGAUCAUUGUGUGCAUGGUCGACAUCCUUAAAUAAGGAGUAUAUUUUAAUGAAUUGAAACUUGUUAUGGCAAAUAUGUUUGUAAUUGGUCUAGAAAAAAAGAACAUGAUAACAUAUUAAAGUCUUUAACAAUACUAGGAAUGAUGUGAGAUUAUGCGAAUAAAAUGUUUUUCAGUGUCCGUGAAAACAUACGAUUCCAUCCAUCAUUUUUCUGUCUACAAUAGCGUGUGUGAAAUAUCUAAUAUCUGUUUUUUAAAAUAAAGUGUUGAUCUAGUUAUGAUAAUAGCUUUAGUUGUUUGUCGCAAAAUGUUACGAAAAGUUUUACGAACUGAAUUAGCAAAAUUUACAACAGGAUUUGUAUGCUUUUAAUCUUUUUACAUUGUACUUUGUCAGCAUUAUAACUAUGAAAAAGUUAUAGAAUAUUGUUUUAUAGCAUAACACAUCUUUAAAAUCUGUAUUCUUACGUUAACUAAUUAUCCAGAAUAUGUCCCAUGAAUUUUUCACAUCAAAUUACAAUUUUCCUCAGUUUUUUUACUUGUAUGUUUAAAUUUUACUUAUAAAAUACUUUGAAUCCAAAUUAUUUGGAUGUAGAAAGGAUGAAUUAUUGUUCUAACUUAAGAUUUGUUUUCUCCCUUUUAGAAAAUAAUUUGGAUUACAUAUUUGAAUCUGCAAACUUUGGAAGAUUUUUGACAGUAGGAACUCGUGCCAAAAUCCCAAAACCUUUCCAGUGUCAGACUUGUAACAGGUUUUUUGUCUCCAAACCAUCACUUCGAGUCCACAUUUACCAUCAGCAUCGAAAAACAAAGAUGUUUAAUUGUGAACUUUGUGGGAAGAGUUUCACAAGAAAUCAUACGUUGCAUAAACACAUUCAAGUAGCUCACGAGUCCCUUUUUUGAGAAAUAUUUGUAUGUUCACUAGAAACCAUAGUGGCUUUUCGUCAAGUUUUCUAAGUCCUGGAAUGUUGAACAGCAUCUCGGGAGAUGGAAUUUCUUGUGAUAUCUGCCACAAGACCUUCUGCUCUCGUGCGUCAAUGCACUCUCAUCGCUAUUUCCAACAUAGAAGCUCACGAAAGUUUCCUUGCCUGCAAUGUGGAAAGGUGUUCACACGCAAGCCUUCAUUGCAAAGACAUCAUCGUUAUUCUCACAUGAUAUUAGAAUACUAAUUAUUUUGCAGUUAUUUUUUUUUUCAUGCCUAGUUUUUUGAAAAAGACACAUUGAUUUCCUGCAGUAGUAUUACUGCUUUUUAGCAUAAGGACAGGUUAAUUAAAUUCAUAGUGUUAAAAAAUAUAAUCUAAAAAAUUUUCGAUGUGAAACAAGUUUUGGAAGCUAAUUAAUGUUGUGGUCAUAUAUUAAAAUGUUUAUUAUAUAAUCCUGACCCUAGAACAAAAAUGAUCAUGUAUUUUUCUUCCCAUAAGAAAUACCUCUACUGGAUGGUUUCAAUUUGUAAAGUAACUUACUCUCCCUGCCUUAUAAGUUCACUCUGUUCAUUUGUUUUGGUUCUUUUAUAUGUAAACCUCUUGACAAGUUCUAAAAUGCAAAUAAAACACUUGAAUAUAAAGUUUUACAAAAAUUUGUAUAUUUGGCAAAAUUUCUAUUACUAUUAUGCAUAAUUAUCAUUAGACAAAAUCACUGAUCCAUUUUAUUUUGUAAACAAUGUGAAGAGCCAAGCUGAAAAAGCAUGAUGAAACACCUCGGAAAACUUACAUAGCUUGAAAGUAAUCUGUAUGUUUCCUCAAAGUGCUUUCAUAGUGUUGAAUCUUUUGUCAGCCUUUUUAUUAGUUGAGGUUUUGUUCAUUUCAUGCAAGAGUAUUCCUAACCUCUCAUUAUUGGCAUGGGUUUCACUUGUAACUGUUGGUUUCUUACUAAAAACCACAUCUCCAAGAUCCACUAGUGAUGUUAGUAAAAUACUUUAUUUACUGUCUGAACUCAGGCUAUCAAUACAUGGUAAGUGUUGGUUUCUUACUAAAAACCACAUCUUCAAGAUCCACUAGUGAUGUUAGUAAAAUACUUUAUUUACUGUCUGAACUCAGGCUAUCAAUACAUUGUAAGUGUUGGUUUCUUACUAAAAACCACAUCUCCAAGAUCCACUAGUGAUGUUAGUAAAAUUCUUUAUUUACUCUCUGAACUCAGGCUAUCAAUACAUGGUAAGUGUUGGUUUCUUACUAAAAACCACAUCCCCAAGAUCCAUUAGUGAUGUUAGUAAAAUACUUUAUUUACUGUCUGAACUCAGGCUAUCAAUACAUUGUAAGUGUUGAUCAUGUCUUCCUUUCUCAGUUUAAAAUAAAAAAUAAUAUUCUCAACAAAACCAUAUUUCAAGAAAGGAAACAAUUAGACAAAAUUAUACAUUCUAAGCAUAGUUGAUGAACAUUUCUUCUGAAUAAAUAACAGGUUAUUUGUGUAUUGUGGGUUUUUAUUAAUAAACUGAUAUUUUAUUUGAAUUCUCUGUUGAGUUCCCAAUGUUCCUAAAUUGUCUCUCUCAACAGUGCAUGGUUUCAUAAGAAUAAUUGAGAACACUAUAUACAAACACAAUCUGAACAGGGCAGUCUCCUUACCUCGUUUUAGGUUGAUGUUUAGUGUAAAAAUUAAAUUAUAGUAAAUUCAAUUUCACAGUUUCUGUGGAUUUAUUUAGUGAUUUAAUGUAUUCCUUCCAGCUUUUAAAGAGAAAUAAAUAUGUACAUGCAAUA